UACGUAGGGUGCGAGCGUUAAUCGGAAUUACUGGGCGUAAAGCGUGCGCAGGCGGCUUUGCAAGACAGAUGUGAAAUCCCCGGGCUUAACCUGGGAACUGCAUUUGUGACUGCAUGGCUGGAGUGCGGCAGAGGGGGAUGGAAUUCCGCGUGUAGCAGUGAAAUGCGUAGAUAUGCGGAGGAACACCGAUGGCGAAGGCAUCCCCUGGGCCUGCACUGACGCUCAUGCACGAAAGCGUGGGGAGC
rnacentral:rRNA from 1 species